rnacentral:tRNA from 1 species
UCCCUGGUGGCCUAGUGGUUAAAGUGUCGGCAUUGUCAAUGCUGUGGCUCAGGUUCACUCCCUGUCCCAGGAA